CUCAAUUCGCGGAAAUUCGACAGUUGUCCGGAUCUGUGAAUUUCCGGCCAGACAGACCAGCUACCGGAAAAGUCUCUGAAUUGGAUCGAGGUUUUGGCUACCCCACCAUUGUCAGGCAUCCCGAGCGCGUUCCCGAAGUCGGAAUCGGCAAAGGUGAGCCGGGACAGCCUUCUUCCUCCGCCCAGCCGCCACAGUGAUUGUCGUCAAGUCUGCCACAGGAGGAUAUUUUUGAGGUUAACCUGCUUCCUUUCCUCGCAGGUUGUUUAUCAAUAUUUGUGUAAUUUUAUUUACUCCUAGAAUUUCCGCAUGUGUUAGAAGUAUUUAUUUGAUUAUGGUCUGUAAUAUUAUUAUCAUGUUGGACCUGUAAACGUAUAAUGAUAUGCAUGUUUGAUGGAUUGGAUGAGGGAGCUGAGCUCCCAUUUAUUAUUAUGUUGAUGAGUAUGUGGAGGGUGAGCUGAGCUCCCCAAUUGACUAUAUAUUGUGUUUACAGGUCGGGUGAGUCGAAAACUCCCCGUUGGUAAGUCCAUUUUAUGGCCGGACUCUGUCCGUUUGUUUUCUUGAAAU